rnacentral:lncRNA from 1 species
GCUAAUAAAGAAAAGAAUACAGCAGCCUCAUAAGAGGGAAUUCAUAUUUUUGAAUAAUAAAAAGGGAAGAUUUUGAUUGUAUUCCUAUUCUCCAUUAAAGGAGUUCUUGAGUUUGGAUUUUGUCUUGAAGGUAGGAAAGAAUUUAUAAACCUUUAAACUUUUGAUUUUGAUUGUGAUUUUUAUGUGAUUGAUUGAAUGAUUCUGCAUGUGUUGUAUUAAUAAAAUUGUGAAAAGUAUGAUCAUGUAUUAAUUUAUGUGUGUUUGAGUGGAAGUAGUGCUGUUAUGAUAUCCUGGAAAUUGUGAAUAGUAUAGAUUGAACUUCAUAUGACUGCUAUUUUAAUCGAGUUUCAUGCAUAAAACUUUACAGAUUAUUAAACUAGACAUCUUUAUCUUUCUAUCCAUAUAUUAAUUGUUCACAAACUCGUUUAUAUAAAUUGUUUUGAUUUUUUGAAUUUGGAACAUUGAUGCUGGAAAAUUUUGAUUUUCAGCAGUAAUUCACAGUUCUAUAAUUUAUUUCAUAACCCAAAAGACUUCUGAAAAUUCUGGGAAUUUUUAUCACUGCACAUAUAUAUGUCUAGUUUCUUUUAUUUUUAAUUUCGUAAUUUUGGGCUUUAUAUAAAAAUCACUAACAAUCAUAGAGUUGGGCUGCCGCAAUCCUGGAAACUGUAUUCCAGAAUUGCGACGGCUGAUAUUUAGGUCGGUUAGGCUAGUUUUUCAUCAGUAAAUAUUUUGUAAAUUUUGAUUCUGAUUCCUUUUUAUUUCCUCUAAUUUUUAAAACUGGAAUCACUAUUUUUGAAUAAGUAUAACUAAAGUUAUGAAUUUUUGAGUCAUUAGUCCUCUGUAUGUAUCGUCACUGGACAGUUUUGAUGUUUUUGGUGGAAAAUCAGUUUUAAGAGAUGAUUAUUAACUUUAAUUAAUAUUGUUAAAUUUUGUAUUGGAUUCCAACAUGUUUACAGUAGCUUUUUGUGAUAUUUAUGAUUUUCCGACAUGUUUAUAGCUUGAUAGACAUCAGCUCCUGUAUGAUGGUCUAGUAUAGUUAGUGAACUGAUGUGCUUAAGUAAGAGUACAUGGUUUAAGGAUUUUUGGUUUUCCUAUCUAGGUUAGAAUUGAAUAAGAUAUUGAUAAGAAUUUUUCCUUGAAGGUCAAGAGUGAGCUCAUGUGAUUAGGGUUAUUGUUGAUUGCAUUGGAUCGAGAUAAGUGAAUUCAUGCAUAAUGUUUAUUAUAAGUAUAUAUGUAAAUAUUUAUUAAUAGAAUAAUGUUCUUCAAAUAGAUUGGCAAGUUAUGGAUUUGAUGCUAUUUUAAAAUGUUUUUCUUAAAUUAGUUUUAAAUAAAUACUUGUUUUUCUAUAAAAUGUUUUCCUUUAAACUAUUUGUAAAGCUUUGCCAGUUUAAUGUGUUAUAAGUGUUUUAUCGAAAUAUUAUUGAAUAAUUGAUAUUGAAAAGCUAAAAAUUGUUUUAAAUGUUUUGGCUCAUUGUCUGUAGUUACCGUUAUUGAUAUUAUUGAACAACUAGCUGUAUUGUGCGCACCUAUUGACGAUUAUUGCGGGGUAAAGUACCCUAAUUGAACUAUUGACAGGGUCACCGGGAGUACAAGUGAUAUAUUGAACUAUUGACCAAGUCACUGAAGAUUUUGGUGAUACUAUGUGAUAUGAGCAAAUUGAAUGAAAGAAAAGUUUUAUUGAUAAAAGAUUUCUUACUCGAUUAUUUAUUGAAAAUGAUUUUUACGUUAUGACUUAACUGAUUAUAAGUUACAUAUGAUUAUAAAACGAUUACUGCUUUCUUAAUUUAUAGUACUUCAUAAUAAUGAUUAUAUACUUUUUCGUAUUACAAAUCUUGUACAUGAGUUUGCUUACCAAGUUAACGGCUCACCCCUUGUCUGUAACAUUUUGCAGAUUGAUAUUAGAGAUGUGGGCUGUCUAGGGGAAAGGAUUUGUUAGUUGUAAACUUUGACAUUUUCUAGAUGGAUUAAUUGUAGCUACUUUGACUAUUGUUUAGAGUUAGAUUUUAUUAUGGAGGAUUAUUGAUUUAUUUAUUAUUUUGGAGAAUAUGUUUUGUUCAUGAACAUUGACUUUAUUUGGAAUUAGUUAUAAGAUAAAUGUUAUAAGACUUAAUUCCA